UACGAAGGGGGCUAGCGUUGUCCGGAAUCACUGGGCGUAAAGAGCUCGUAGGCGGCUUGUUGCGUCGACCGUGAAAACCCGGGGCUCAACUUCGGGCUUGCGGUCGAUACGGGCGGGCUAGAGUUCGGUAGGGGAGACUGGAAUUCCUGGUGUAGCGGUGAAAUGCGCAGAUAUCAGGAGGAACACCGGUGGCGAAGGCGGGUCUCUGGGCCGAUACUGACGCUGAGGAGCGAAAGCGUGGGGAGCGAACAGG
rnacentral:rRNA from 1 species